rnacentral:rRNA from 1 species
CAGUCACCGCGGUAAUACAGAGGGUGCGAGCGUUAAUCGGAUUUACUGGGCGUAAAGCGUGCGUAGGCGGCUUCUUAAGUCGGAUGUGAAAUCCCUGAGCUUAACUUAGGAAUUGCAUUCGAUACUGGGAAGCUAGAGUAUGGGAGAGGAUGGUAGAAUUCCAGGUGUAGCGGUGAAAUGCGUAGAGAUCUGGAGGAAUACCGAUGGCGAAGGCAGCCAUCUGGCCUAAUACUGACGCUGAGGUACGAAAGCAUGGGGAGCAAACAGGAUUAGAUACCCCGGUAGUCCCUGUCUCUUAUAC